rnacentral:rRNA from 1 species
UCGAGAAUCAUUCGCAAUGGGCGAAAGCCUGACGAUGCGACGCCGUGUGAGCGAUGAAGGCCUUAGGGUCGUAAAGCUCUUUCGCCUGGGAACAAGAGAGGCUAACGAAUAAUUAGUCGAUUUGAGGGUACCAGGUAAAGAAGCACCGGCUAACUCCGUGCCAGCAGCUGCGGUAAUACGGAGGGUGCAAGCAUUAAUCGGAUUUAUUGGGCGUAAAGGGCGUGUAGGCGGUUUAGACAGUCAGAUGUGAAAUCCUGGAGCUUAACUCCAGAACAGCAUUUGAAACUACUAAGCUAGAGGGUAGAAGGGGAAAACAGAAUUCCACAAGUAGCGGUGAAAUGCGUAGAUAUGUGGAGGAAUACCGGUGGCGAAGGCGGUUUUCUAUUUUAUUCCUGACGCUGAGGCGCGAAAGCAAGGGGAGCAAACA